rnacentral:rRNA from 1 species
UACAGAGGGUGCGAGCGUUAAUCGGAAUUACUGGGCGUAAAGCGUGCGCAGGCGGUUCGUUGUGUCGGUCGUGAAAGCCCCGGGCUCAACCUGGGAAUUGCGAUGAAGACUGCAAGGCUUGAAUCUGGCAGAGGGGGGUAGAAUUCCACGUGUAGCAGUGAAAUGCGUAGAGAUGUGGAGGAACACCGAUGGCGAAGGCAGCCCCCUGGGUCAAGAUUGACGCUCAUGCACGAAAGCGUGGGGAGCAAACAGG